UACGAACUGUGCGAACGUUAUUCGGAAUCACUGGGCUUAAAGGGUGCGUAGGCGGUUUUCUAAGUCACGUGUGAAAUCUUCCGGCUCAACCGGAAAACUGCGCGUGAUACUGGAUAACUUGAGUGAGGUAGGGGUGUGUGGAACUUCCGGUGGAGCGGUGAAAUGUGUAGAGAUCGGAAGGAACGCCAGCAGCGAAAGCGGCACACUGGGCCUUAUCUGACGCUGAGGCACGAAAGCUAGGGGAGUGAACGGGAUUAGAUACCCCGGUAAUCCUAGCCGUAAACACUGAACACUGGAGGACGGGGGCUUCGGCCUUCGUUCUCGUAGCGAAAGCGUUAAGUGUUCCGCCUGGGGAGUAUGGUCGCAAGGCUG
rnacentral:rRNA from 1 species